UAAAGAUGUAAUAUCUUGGGUCGAACUUAUUUGAAUUAUUUUUUAUUUGAUUAUUUAAAUAUUUAAAAUUUUAAUUUAAAUAUUUAAUAUUUUAAUUUGUUUAAGGUCAUUUGAUGGUUCUACAGAUGUAAUAUUUAAACUAGUUAUUUAUUAUAAUAAAUUUAAAAUUUGCAUGACCUGUAUAAUAUAUACAGAUUAAAUUUACAAUAAUAAAUAAUGAAUUCAAAUUUUAAAGCUAAAAAGUCAUUAACUUACUAAAAUUAAAUAAGUUAAAAAAUUAAAUAAUAAAAAUAAAUUUUUUAAAAAAUAU
rnacentral:lncRNA from 1 species